UAAAUGAACCCAGGAGGGUAAUCAAUUCUACAAAGAAAUGUUGGAGAAUGGUGUCAAUAAGCUAGGUGACAAGCAGAUUGAAAAGUUGAACUUAGUUAUCAAGGAGCUCGUUAAGGAAAAUGAUGAAGAAAAAGAAAGGCGAAAUGGAAUUAUUGCUGGGUUGUUGGCUGAAAAGAAAAAAGAUAAGGUGGAUAAAGAUGCUAUGCUCGAUACGAUGCCACAAAUUGAAGCUAUGUUAACAAGUACAAUUUGAAGAUAGACUACAAAUACUUGGUUUUGAAUGUUUUGAUGUUUAUCAUAUAAGGAUUUUUUUAGUUAUUUCAUGUUUUAGCUGAUAUUUCUAUUAGAAUGUUUUAUAUGCUUUUGAUACACAUAUGUUUUAUAUAAUUUUGGGUUUUCGUGAUCUUA